rnacentral:rRNA from 17 species
CUUUAUUGGAGAGUUUGAUCCUGGCUCAGGAUGAACGCUGGCGGCGUGCCUAAUACAUGCAAGUCGAGCGAAUGGAUU